GGCUAUGUAGCUCAGUUGGUUAGAGCACCGCACUCAUAAUGCGGGGGUCACAGGUUCAAGUCCCGUCAUAGCCACCA
rnacentral:tRNA from 146 species